rnacentral:rRNA from 1 species
GAAGGAUCAUUACCACACCUAAAAACUUUCCACGUGAACCGUAUCAACCCAAUAAAUUGGGGGUAUGUUUGGUGGCGGCUGCUAGCAUUUUCUUA